rnacentral:rRNA from 1 species
CACCGCCCGUCACAUCACGAAAGUGAGUUGUACUAGAAGUCGCCGCGCGAACCGCAAGGACGCAAGCGCCCAAGGUAUGACCCAUGAUUGGGGUGAAGUCGUAAACAAGGUACC